rnacentral:rRNA from 1 species
AGCGAACGCUGGCGGCAGGCCUAACACAUGCAAGUCGAACGGACCCUUCGGGGUUAGUGGCGGACGGGUGAGUAACACGUGGGAACGUGCCUUUAGGUUCGGAAUAGCUCCUGGAAACGGGUGGUAAUGCCGAAUGUGCCCUUCGGGGGAAAGAUUUAUCGCCUUUAGAGCGGCCCGCGUCUGAUUAGCUAGUUGGUGAGGUAACGGCUCACCAAGGCGACGAUCAGUAGCUGGUCUGAGAGGAUGACCAGCCACACUGGGACUGAGACACGGCCCAGACUCCUACGGGAGGCAGCAGUGGGGAAUCUUGCGCAAUGGGCGAAAGCCUGACGCAGCCAUGCCGCGUGAAUGAUGAAGGUCUUAGGAUUGUAAAAUUCUUUCACCCGGGACGAUAAUGACGGUACCCGGAGAAGAAGCCCCGGCUAACUUCGUG